CGUAAGGUAAGUCGUUCGGAAUCGUUCGGGUAUUUUCCGUACUCACAUCGGAAGCAUGUGACUUCGAAUCGUUCUUCUCGGUUCGUCAGUUUGCGUGACGCAGCGAAGAAAACAAGAUGGAGUCUCCACAGAACAUCAAGGUCUUUAUAGAAUAUUGUAGUGGAUGAGGCUACUACGGCCAAUUCAAGGACUUGGCCAGUAAAAUUAAAGCUGCCAUUCCAAAUGUGGAAGUGGAAGGCAAAACAGGAAGAAAUAGUUCCUUUGAGAUUGAAGUAAAUGAAAGAGAAAUAUUUUCCAAGCUGAAGAAAGGAGGAAUGCCAGAUUUUGAUGAGGUGUUGGAAGCAAUAAAGGCUGCACAGAGAGGAGAAAACAAAGAAGUAGAAAAACUUCAGCCAGGAUGCACUAUUUUAUAAAGUAAAUUAUUAAAUAAGCUCAUGACAGCACAAACUGUAUACACCCCUUACAUGUGAAUCAAACCAGCUCAAUUUGGCAUAUAAAAUGAAAGAAUUUUAAUCUUCUGAGAAUUAGAAACUUAUUGUUCUAAAUUGGACUACUGCAAGGGGUCUAUUCUAUGCUCUUCUUGUACACUCAAUUGCAAAAUCAUCAUAGAAUACCUGUAAACCAAUUUUUGUUGGAAAAAGUGAUCUGUAUAGACUGUUAACUUUCAACAAAUUUCUCUCACUUCAUUUGGUUAUUUUUUAUCAUCAAUUAGAGGACAGACAGAAAACACUGCUGUCAAUGAGCAUGCGCUCUUUCCAUUGGUUGUUUUGAUCACUAAAAAUGAGAUGUUUUUGUUAAUGUAAAAACAAAUAGACACUAGUUUUAUGUGUCUGUCCUCUUAUUGACGAUAAAUGUUGUUGUCACAUUGUCAAAGAAGUAUGCGGAUCCAUUCGGCUAAGCCUCACAUAAAAAACUGAUGUCUAUGUAUUUCAAGCGUAUCAAAACACAAUAACUUCAGUGAGCACAGUUAAAAUAUUAUGGAUUGAUAUAUGUAGCUUAUCGGCAAGUAGGCAUACAGUCAAACACCACUUUAGUGUUGUCUAGUGUAUGAUGGUUUUCAUGGCAACGGGAAUACUAUUUCCUGAAGUGGAAACCUGAUGUGAAAUAAUCUAAGAAAGCUGGAGUGCAAAGAUUGUAUGUUAGGAUGAUGUCCAUAAUAAAUAAAACAGUUACCAAAAAUAGAAA